ACAGUUCCUGUGAUUGCAAAUGCCAAGUUAACAUAAUAGUGAUGUUCAAUUCAAACUCUAAAAAGUUGCUUUUGAAAGCUGAUAUUAAUUUAAUGUGAUUAUUGUGAGAUUAGCAAAUGCCAUGUACUUAAUUUUCAGGGAGAAGGGGAUUUUUAGUUAGUGAGUUUUCAUUUGUAACAGAUCAUAUGAUGCUAAGAUGACUUUAUUUUUUUUUGGUA
rnacentral:misc_RNA from 1 species